rnacentral:rRNA from 1 species
GACGAACGCUGGCGGCGUGCUUAACACAUGCAAGUCGAGCGGUAAGGCCCUUUCGGGGGUACACGAGCGGCGAACGGGUGAGUAACACGUGGGUGACCUGCCCUUAGCUCUGGGAUAAGCCUGGGAAACUGGGUCUAAUACCGGAUAUGACCUCAUGACUCAUGUUGUGGGGUGGAAAGCCUUGUGCGGCUAGGGAUGGGCCCGCGGUCUAUCAGCUUGUUGGUGGGGUAAUUGCCUACCAAGGCGACGACGGGUAGCCGGCCUGAGAGGGCGACCGGCCACACUGGGACUGAGACACGGCCCAGACUCCUACGGGAGGCAGCAGUGGGGAAUCUUGCGCAAUGGGGCGAAAGCCUGACGCAGCGACGCCGCGUGAGGGAUGACGCCU